rnacentral:tRNA from 1 species
GCCCCCGUAGCUCAGGGGAUAGAGCGCUGGCCUCCGGAGCCAGAGACCCGCGUUCGAAUCGCGGCGGGGGCA